rnacentral:rRNA from 1 species
GCGAGCGUUAUCCGGAAUCACUGGGUUUAAAGGGUGCGUAGGCGGAUUAGCAAGUCAGAGCAGAGGUGAAAGCUCUCAGCUUAACUGAGGAACUGCCUUUGAAACUGCUAGUCUUGAAAUAUGGUGAGGUUGGCGGAAUGAGUCAUGUAGCGGUGAAAUGCAUAGAUAUGACUUAGAACACCGAUUGCGAAGGCAGCUGACUGGCCAUUAUUUGACGCUGAGGCACGAAAGCGUGGGGAGCGAACAGGAUUAGAUACCCUGGUAGUCCACGCCCUAAACGAUGUAUACUCGACGUUUGGAUUUAUUUCUGGGCGUCCAAGGGAAACCGUUAAGUAUACCACCUGGGGAGUACGUCGGCAACGAUGAAACUCAAAGGAAUUGACGGA